GCACGGAUAGCUCAGCGGUAGAGCGCCUGUCUUACACACAGGUGGCCGGGGGUUCGAAUCCCUCUCCGUGCA
rnacentral:tRNA from 1 species